CUACGAGAGGCAGCAGUGAGGAAUAUUGCACAAUGGGGGGAACCCUGAUGCAGCAACGCCGCGUGGAGGAUGACGCAUUUCGGUGUGUAAACUCCUUUUAUAUGUCAAGAAAAUGACGGUAGCAUAUGAAUAAGCACCGGCUAACUCCGUGCCAGCAGCCGCGGUAAUACGGAGGGUGCAAGCGUUACUCGGAAUCACUGGGCGUAAAGGACGCGUAGGCGGGUUGGAAAGUCAGGUGUGAAAUCCUACAGCUUAACUUUAGAACUGCACUUGAAACUUCUAAUCUAGAGUAUGGGAGGGGGAGAUGGAAUUAGUGGUGUAGGGGUAAAAUCCGUAGAUAUCACUAGGAAUACCUAAAGCGAAGGCGAUCUCCUGGAACAUUACUGACGCUAAGGCGUGAAAGCGUGGGGAGCAAACAGGAUUAGAUACCCCCGUAGUC
rnacentral:rRNA from 1 species